GUGAAGUCGGAAUCGCUAGUAAUCGCGAAUCAGAAUGUCGCGGUGAAUACGUUCCCGGGCCUUGUACACACCGCCCGUCACACCAUGGGAGUGGGUUGCACCAGAAGUAGCUAGUCUAACCUUCGGGGGGACGGUUACCACGGUGUGAUUCAUGACUGGGGUGAAGUCGUAACAAGGUAGCCGUAGGGGAACCUGCGGCUGGAUCACCUCCUUA
rnacentral:rRNA from 1 species